rnacentral:misc_RNA from 1 species
CUGAAGUUGCAACAUACCUACAGACAGGACAUCCAUCACAACAUAAUAAAAAUCCAGGAGGAUUCUAUCUGCUUCAAACUAAUAAGAAGAAAAGACAAUUAAAAAAAAUAAUACUAUGCAUUUAAAUAAAUAGAAGUAUACCAGUGCACUUUCAUUCACUUCAAAACAAAACCACAACAUGCUCAAUAUACCUACUAAAUUGGCUCUACAAAGCUUUCUAUAAAAAAUUACCUCCCAGUAGGAUCCCAUUCAAUAUCUGUUGCCAUAAAAUGCUCAGUUGUA